UACGUAGGUGGCAAGCGUUGUCCGGAUUUACUGGGCGUAAAGGGCGUGCAGGCGGUUUGUCUAGUCUAGGGUGAAAGCUCCCGGCUUAACUGGGAGAGGUCCUUGGAUACUGGCAAACUUGAGGGAGGCAGAGGAAAGUGGAAUUCCCGGUGUAGUGGUGAUAUGCGUAGAUAUCCGGAGGAACACCGGUGGCGAAGGCGGCUUCCUGAACCGACACUGACGCUGAGGCGCGAAAGCUAGGGGAGCAAACGGG
rnacentral:rRNA from 1 species